AUUGAACGCUGGCGGCAGGCCUAACACAUGCAAGUCGAACGAGUGGCGGACGGGUGAGUAAUGUCUGGGCAACGGCCUGAUGGAGGGGGAUAACUACUGGAAACGGUAGCUAAAACCGCAUACAUUCAGAUGUGCCCAGAUGGGAUUAGCUUGUGGGUGGGGUCACGGCUCACCAAGGCGACGAUCCGUAGCUGGUCUGAGAGGAUGACCAGCCAAACUGGAACUGAGAAACGGUCCAGACUCCUACGGGAGGCAGCAGUGGGGAAUAUUGCACAAUGGGCGCAAGCCUGAUGCAGCCAUGCCGCGUGUAUGAAGAAGGCCUUCGGGUUGUAAAGUACUUUCAGCGGGGAGGCGUUACCCGCAGAAGAAGCACCGGCUAACUCCGUGCCAGCCGCCGCGGUAAUAC
rnacentral:rRNA from 1 species